rnacentral:rRNA from 1 species
UGGGGAAUUUUGGACAAUGGGCGCAAGCCUGAUCCAGCCAUGCCGCGUGUCUGAAGAAGGCCUUCGGGUUGUAAAGGACUUUUGUCAGGGAAGAAAAGGAUAGGGUUAAUACCCCUGUCUGAUGACGGUACCUGAAGAAUAAGCACCGGCUAACUACGUGCCAGCAGCCGCGGUAAUACGUAGGGUGCGAGCGUUAAUCGGAAUUACUGGGCGUAAAGCGGGCGCAGACGGUUACUUAAGCAGGAUGUGAAAUCCCCGGGCUCAACCUGGGAACUGCGUUCUGAACUGGGUGACUAGAGUGUGUCAGAGGGAGGUAGAAUUCCACGUGUAGCAGUGAAAUGCGUAGAGAUGUGGAGGAAUACCGAUGGCCAAGGCAGCCUCCUGGGAUAACACUGACGUUCAUGCCCGAAAGCGUGGGUAGCAAACAGGAUUAGAUACCCUGGUGGUCCACGCCCUAAACGAUGUCGAUUAGCUGUUGGGCAGCUUGACUGCUUAGUAGCGAAGCUAACGCGUGAAAUCGACCGCCUGGGGAGUACGGUCGCAAGAUUA